AUGGGGGCUGCCUUUAACAUGCAGUCGAACGGUAACAGGGAGCUUGCUCCGCUGACGAGUGGCGAACGGGUGAGUAAUACAUCGGAACGUGCCCAGUAAUGGGGGAUAGCUCGGCGAAAGCCGGAUUAAUACCGCAUACGCCCUGAGGGGGAAAGUGGGGGACCGCAAGGCCUCACGUUAUUGGAGCGGCCGAUGGCUGAUUAGCUAGUUGGUAGGGUAAAGGCCUACCAAGGCGACGAUCAGUAGCUGGUCUGAGAGGACGAUCAGCCACACUGGGACUGAGACACGGCCCAGACUCCUACGGGAGGCAGCAGUGGGGAAUUUUGGACAAUGGGGGAAACCCUGAUCCAGCAAUGCCGCGUGUGCGAAGAAGGCCUUCGGGUUGUAAAGCACUUUUGUCAGGGAAGAAAUCCUUUGGGCUAAUACCCUAGGGGGAUGACGGUACCUGAAGAAUAAGCACCGGCUAACUACGUGCCAGCAGCCGCGGUAAUACGUAGGGUGCAAGCGUUAAUCGGAAUUACUGGGCGUAAAGCGUGCGCAGGCGGUUGUGUAAGACAGGUGUGAAAUCCCCGGGCUUAACCUGGGAAUUGCAUUUGUGACUGCACGACUA
rnacentral:rRNA from 1 species